GAUGAACGCUGGCGGCGUGCCUAAUACAUGCAAGUCGAGCGGACGGGCGACAAGCUUUCUGCUCGGAUGUUAGGGGCGGACGAGUGAGUAAUAAGAGGAUAAUCUACUUAUAAGACCGGGUGAAUUACGGGAAACCGGUGCUGCUACCGCAGGAUAUUCUGAACCUCUUGGUUGAAAAGUCAAAGACGGUUUUGGUGUCACUUGUAGAUGGAUCCGCGCCGCAUUAGCUUGUUGGUAAGGUAACGGCGUACCAAGGCAACGAUGCAUAGCCGACCUGAGAGGGUGGUCGGCGGCACCAGUAGUGAGGCGACGUCGAGAAUACUCCGAGGGGCAGCAGUAGGGAGGAAUCCGCAAUGGGCGGAGGCCUGACGGAGCAGCGCCGCGUGGGGAAUGAUGGUCGUCGGAUCGUAAUGCUCUGUUAUUGGGAGAGAAGAUAGCUGGAAGUGUCUGUGCGCAGCUUGACGGUAGCUAAUCAAAAAGCGACGGCUAACUACGUG
rnacentral:rRNA from 1 species